AACGAACGCUGGCGGCAGGCUUAACACAUGCAAGUCGAACGGGCACCUUCGGGUGUCAGUGGCAGACGGGUGAGUAACGCGUGGGAACGUACCCUUCGGUUCGGAAUAACCCAGGGAAACUUGGGCUAACACCGGAUACGUCCGCAAGGAGAAAGAUUUAUCGCCGAAGGAUCGGCCCGCGUCGGAUUAGCUAGUUGGUGGGGUAAUGGCCCACCAAGGCGACGAUCCGUAGCUGGUCUGAGAGGAUGAUCAGCCACACUGGGACUGAGACACGGCCCAGACUCCUACGGGAGGCAGCAGUGGGGAAUAUUGGACAAUGGGCGAAAGCCUGAUCCAGCCAUGCCGCGUGAGUGAAGAGGCCUUAGGGUUGUAAAGCUCUUUCAGCGGGAAGAUAAUGACGGUACCCGCAGAAGAAGUCCCGGNUAAC
rnacentral:rRNA from 1 species